ensembl:lncRNA
AUGGCUGGGUUCAAACAGAGACCCAGGCUCACAGAGAGUCCUGUCUAUCUUUCCCAUUUCCCAGCUCCUUUCUGCCCAGGAAGAAGCUGGAUUGUUGAACUUGUGAAGAGCAUGGACUCAAGUCCUGCUUCCAACAGGCCCUUAGCCAGCUGUGGAAGCUUUGGGAAAUUCCUUCAUUCCUCUGAGCCUCAGUUUCUUCAUCUAUGGAACCUACACCUCCAGCAAAGCAUGGUGUGGUUUACAUGCCUCACUCAUAGAACCCUUGUCAGGAAGUUAAAUGGAAUGGCAUUACCGUGGUGCCGGAGGCAUUUUAAGAAUGAUUGGCUGUAACUGUGCCUGAAUAUAGUUUCUAAGCAGUCAUUGAGCCCUGAAUUGAUCCACAGGCUGAACUAGGUUCGAGGAGGCUGCAAGAGCCAGGUGCCACGAGGUUACUCUGAAGUGCCCUCAUCCCUGGAAGAGACCCCUGGAUGAGCCUUGGGGAGUCCUUGAAGUCCUAGAAUCUGGUUUUCAUAAGAUCUUUUUCAGCAAGGUAUUGGUAUCAACAAGUUGCAUUUACCAUCUUAAUGACUUCCUCAAAUAUAAAAUCCACUGCAUAAAAGUGAUUUUUAUCCUUAGUUUUAAAAUGUGAGUUGUUAAAGAUCCCUAUAGCUAUGCCCAUCAAAAUAUCACUUAAAAGUUACAAUUCUCCAGCUUCUUCUGUGUGGCCUACAGAUUAUCUACCUUGAAAUUUCUUCACCAGAUAGGGAGAAAUACCUCAAGCUGUCUUUCAUGUACAAGCCCAGGAGCAGUUUUACACAAAGAUCAGUGUUCUCUCAGUUAAACGCUGGUUAAAUAAAACAGUGUAAAAUAGAAUCUGAGAGAAACAAAUUACCUAAGACCUGUUUCCUCCAGGGCACCAGGUUUCAGCCUUCCUUUAAUUUUCUCUUGUUGUUGUUGUUCAGUCACUCAGUCGUGUCCGACUCUUUGUGAUCCCAUGAACUGCAGCAUGCCAGGCUUCCCUGUCCUUCACUAUCUCCUAGAGUUUGCUCAAACUCACAUCAAUGAUGCCAUCCAACCACCUCAUCCUCUGUCACCCCCUUCUCCUCCUACCCUCAGUCUUUUCCAGCAUCAGGGUCUUUUUCCAAUGAGUUGGCUCUAGUGUGGGCCAAUUUGAAGGCACUCAGCUUUGGUGGGUCAGCUCAUCCACUAGCGGAAAUUAUGCCAUGUCUCACUUGUUUCUUUCAUGUUCCCACUGCCUACUUUUCAAACUUGGCUAUUGUAAUUUACUCAGUUUGUACUGUACUUCUCUAUAAGAGAAGUUAAUAUUUAAAAUAUUGCAUUCUAAGUUCCAUCAACCAACAUUUCUUAAAUGACUAUUUCUAAAGAAAUAGAAGAUGAAAUCUCUCCUUAAAAAAGAAAUACCUACUAUUUAGGAAGACAGAGCACACCCAGAUGGAAUAAUGAAUAAAAUUUUUUGAAGCAAUAAAUUGGCAAGUGCUAAAGAAUAAUUUGCAAAAAAAAAAAAAAUAAAUAAGAAUGAUGUUCAAGGAGAACUAACUAGAAAAAUGAACAGAACCAGGCAGGGUACUCAAAAAAGCUUUUGAAGGCCAGUUCAGUCAGUUCAAUUCAGUUGCUCAGUCGUGUCUGACUCUUUGCGACCCCAUGAAUCGCAGCACGCCAGGCCUCCCUGUCCAUUACCAACUCCCGGAGUUCACUCAGACUCACGUCCAUCGAGUCAGUGAUGCCAUCCAGCCACCUUAUCCUCUGUCAUCCCCUUCUCCUCCUUCCCCCAAUCCCUCCCAGCAUCAGAGUCUUUUCCAAUGAGUCAACUCUUCGCAUGAGGUGGCCAAAGUACUGGAGCUUCAGCUUCAGCAUCAGUCCCUCCAAAGAAAUCCCAGGGCUGAUCUCCUUCAGAAUGUAGGCAUAUAUAAAGAUGUUAGCAUCUUUUCUUUGGGAUUUUUAUAUAUAAUACAUAUAAUAUAAUAUAUAUAUAUAUAUACAUAUAUAAUGGAAUACUACUUAACCAUAAAAAAGAAUGCAACAUUGCCCGAAAUAUUGCCAUUUGCAGCAACAUGGAUGGACUUAGAGAUUACCUUACUAAGUAAAUCAGAAAGAAAAAGACAAAUACUACAUGAUAUCACAUACGUAGAAACUAAAAUAUGACACAAAUGAACUUACUUAUGAAACAGACUCAAAACCAUAGAGAACAGACUUGUAAUUGUCAAGGGGAUGGAGCUGGGGGAGGAAUGGAUUGGGAUUAGCAGAUGUAAACAAUUGUAUACAGGAUGUGUAAACAACAAGGUCCUACUGAAUAGCACAGGGAACCACAUUCAAUAUCCUGUAACAAACCAUAAUGAAAAAGAAUAGGAAAGAAGAUAUACAUAUAUAUGAAUCUCUUUGCUGUAUAGCAGAAAGUAACGCAACAUUGUAAAUCAACUAUACUUUAAAAAAAUUUUUUUAAAAGGCUUCUAGGAAGCAGUGAAAUUUAUUUUAGAUUUUGACAAAGACAAAUUUGGAUUAGAAAAAUGUUGUGAGGGUACAUGUUAGACAAAGGAGAUAUUUUACUUUUGUGCAAGAGGAGGAAAACACACUUUAUUUCAGAUAAUUGUAGAACCAUUAAACUGGCUCAUUCUUUUUCUCAUGCUAUUAAGAUAUAAGAUGAAUAGAAAAAUAUAUUUAUCAAUCUAUUAUAUCUACUCCUCCCUUCUAAACUAUUGAAAAUCCCACCUACAUUUUCUUUACAGAGCCCACAAAUGCUCUAAUAUUGACUGUUUUUGUUUCUUCCCCUAAACGUUACUUGCUAAAUCUUUUUUCAUCUAAUUUAUUUAUAUAAUUUUUGGCUUACUUUUGUUAAAUGAUACAAAAUAAUUGUAGACCAGGCAAAGUUUGUAUACUCACUUAAAUGUCUCCCUAUCUAACAUCUGUUUUUUUUUUUUUUUCUUCUCCUAAAUGGAAGAAACUUCCUUCUGAAAUAAUUUACUGCAGUCCCAAAUGGCUGUUUAUGGUCAUUUUAGAGAUAAAAUUCCAUAAAUUCAAGUUAGCACUGACAUUUUAUAAGUGCUGUCAUGUCAAAGCUGGGGAAUGGAAACCAUCUCACUGGGUUCUCUAAAGUGGAAGCAUCUUUUGUCUGCUUAUUACUGUGAGAAAUGGCCGGAUUAAAGCCUCCAAAUGUUUCAGUGAUGCAGAGCAAAGGUGACUUCCUGUUUUGUUUUAGGGUUUGUUUCUUCUCUUCUCAAUGAAGGCUGUGUUUUCUGACAUUCUGCAAUCUUUUGCUCAGUGAUUUCCCAUUGAAAGGGCAGGGUAGGAGGGCCUCUGCAGGUCAUUCUAUUUACAAUAUGCCCUGAAAAGGGAGGAAGGGAGAGGGAGGGAAAGAGGAAGCUCAUUAGUGGAAGGAGCAGACCAGGAGGGAUCUGUUUUCCAUUUUCUUUUCUGGAUUGAGCUCAUUUGGAUGGAAAGGAUAUUAUUGUUAUCCUUAUCAUCAUUAUCAUUACCAGUGUGGUCUAAUUUUCCUACACGUUUGUCUCAAGUGUGAGGUGAAUUUACUGGUAGAAGAGUUAAUAAGUGCCAUUUUAUUUUAGUAAAAUCAGGGGUGGGUGCGUGAGGGAAGCCCAAGUACUUUAAAGCAGUUUUCACUUUGAAGCUUAAAAUGCAAAACUCAAAAGUUUUAAUUCUGCAGUGCAAAAGAAAAAAAUUAAAAGAAAAAAAGACCUGUUACUUGCUUCUCGUGGCCUAUUUGUAAUUAUGUACAGCGUUUCUUCUCUUUUUAUGAAAGGCGAUUUCCGCCCACACCCCCUACCCCGGUCCCCACACCCGCCACCACCUAGUUAUUGAAAAUCCCACCUACAUUUUCUUUACAGA